rnacentral:misc_RNA from 1 species
CUUUUAAUGUCCACAUGUGAGAAAGGGAACACCAGUCAUUAUGGCUCAUUACAAUUUUAAGAAAAUUACGGUUGUUCCUCCUGCAAAGGACUUUGUGGACAUAGUCUUAUCGAAGACACAGAGAAAAACUCCAACUGUAGUGCACAAACAUUACAAGAUCAGUCGGAUUCGGACGUUUUAUAUGCGAAAAGUGAAGUUCACACAGCAAACUUUUCACGACAAGCUGACUCAAAUCCUCACGGAUUUUCCGAAACUAGAGGAUGUCCACCCAUUUUACGCUGAUUUAAUGAACGUAUUGUAUGACAAAGAUCACUACAAAUUAGCAUUGGGCCAGAUCAACACUGCAAGGCAUUUGAUUGACAAUGUUUCGAAAGAUUAUUGUCGCUUGUUGAAAUAUGGAGACUCCCUCUACAGAUGUAAACAAUUGAAGAAAGCAGCCAUGGGAAGAAUGUGCACCAUAAUGAAACGUCAGAAGCAGAGUUUGGAGUACCUGGAACAGGUUCGUCAGCAUCUGUCACGUCUGCCUUCUAUUGAUCCCAACACCCGCACUUUGCUGAUCUGCGGCUUUCCUAACGUCGGAAAGUCAAGUUUCAUCAACAAGAUCACUCGAGCUGAUGUAGAAGUGCAACCAUACGCCUUCACUACCAAAUCUUUGUAUGUUGGUCACACAGAUUACAAGUACCUCCGGUGGCAAGUGAUUGACACUCCAGGAAUUCUGGAUCAUUCUCUUGAAGAGAGAAAUACCAUUGAAAUGCAGGCUAUUACAGCUUUGGCUCAUCUGCGUGCAGCUGUACUCUAUGUCAUGGAUCCUUCCGAACAGUGUGGAUAUUCCAUUGAGCAACAAAUUGAACUUUUCAAUAACAUUAAGCCUCUUUUUGUGAACAAGCCAUUGCUUAUUUGUACAAAUAAAGUUGACGUCAUUCGCCUGGAAGAUCUUCCUACAGAGAAAGCAGAGCAGUUCAAAGUGUUUGAAGAAAGUGGCAUACCAUUAUUAUCUAUGAGCACAUUAACAGAAGAAGGGGUUAUGGAUGUUAAAAUACAAGCAUGUGAAAAAUUGCUCCAGUACAGAAUUGACACUAAGAUUAAGGGGAAAAAGGUGAAUGAUGUUAUGAACAGACUUCAUGUUGCAAUGCCAGCUAAACGAGAUAACAAAGAAAGACCACCAUGCAUCCCAGAAUCUGUGCAGAGUUUAAAGAAAACCAUGGAUACCGAUGUGAAAUCCAAAAAGAAGUCGUUAAGAGAUCUUGAAAUUGAAGAAGGGGAUGAAUACACUGUGGAUUUAAGAAAACACUGGAAUUUACCCAAUGAAGAAGAAAAGUAUGACAUCAUCCCAGAAAUUUGGCAAGGCCACAAUGUAGCAGACUUCAUCGAUCCCGACAUCAUGAAGAAAUUGGACGAGUUAGAAAAGGAGGAAGAAAUGAGAGAACAAGCAGGCUACUAUGAUAAUGAAAGUGAAGAAGAGGAUGAUGAAAUGAAAGAGAUCAGAAAAACAGCACGGAAGAUCAGGGAAAAAAGAAAUAUUAUUAUGCUGGAAUCUAAAGAAAAGAGAAGAGUAGAAAAACCAAAACUGCCUAGGAAGAAAAUGAGCACAGACAAAAUGAACAGGGAGCUUGGAGCCCUGGGUAUUGAGAUGGACUCGGAUGAGGACACUCACCUGAAUCAAAUGCGAUCAAGAAGUAAGAGCAGAAAGGCCUUAAAGAGAAAGAGAGAAGAGUCCAUGGAUGUUGACAAACCUAGAUCAAGGAGUCGGUCAGUCAGCAAAGCUCCACGGGAUCAGUCCGGAGUCAGGGAUGCCAAGAUGGCUAGGAAGGUCAAAACGGAGAGGGUGAUCGGGUCAUUCUGAACAUGAAACCUAAACAUCUGUUUGCUGGAAAGCGCAAAGGUGGAAAAACUGACAGGCGUUAAUUUUUGUAGUUGUUUUAUUCUUGUUUUUUUUGUAACAUCACUGAUUUAUUGAAUUAUCACAAUUUAAAUGACAUCAUGUGAUAAACAAGUAAUAAAUUGUAAUGAGCC